rnacentral:lncRNA from 1 species
GCGUUGAAAGUCGAUUACGCCAAUAGACAUAGAGUUGUGCUGCCUAGCCUUGUUUCCUAUCCUACUAUCAUAGACCUUUGUCAAGUUAUUACCCCGCCCUCUUGAAUUUGCACCUUAUCUGUGAGGCUGAAUGGUGUUAACGUUUUGGAUUGUCUCGAUGAGUUUAUUUAUAAUGAAUGGUACUUAUGUUGGUUCUUGUCACUUAGUUUUCUCAUGCAACUGGCGCCAAGGCGAUGGAUCUUUAUAGGGUUGCCGUUGCUCUGUAGGUCCUCUAGCUGAUUAUUCUAUAGCUUCUAAGUCUUGCUAUAGCUGAUUCUAAGAAGUUCCUGGUCUCCCGUCCUAAUUCUAUAGCUUCUAAGUCUUGCUAUAUAUACUUCGAAAAUCAAACCUUGCUACCUUAUGUAUGAUCAUAUACCUGUUACUAUAAUGAUCAAUGAGAUUUAUAGGAGCAAGGGCAUCGAUUGGUUUCACCUCCUGCAAGGGCAUCGAUUGGUUUCACCUCCUCAUUCGCGCACAGGUAAUGGUUUGGCACCUUGUGAAUACUCCCUCUGUUCUGAAUUACUUGUCGCAGGUAUGGAUGUAUCUAGAUGUAUUUUAGUUCUAGAUACAUCUAUUUCUGCGACGAAUAAUUUGAAACGGAGGGAGUAGAAGUGAGGCGGUGGUGGUUCUAGAUCCAGGGUGUUUGCUGGCGAUUUCGUCGCUCCCCUUCCCCUCCUAUCAUCGUAUUGGCAUCGCGAGGGGGAGGGGAGCUCCGGUCUCUCGUCCAGGCGCGUUUUAAUCUUUAGAGAGGUUUUUGAGUUUCCUCCGCCGAUGUCAUGUGGUGGUGCUCAUUGGAAUAAUGAUCUCUCAGCCCGUGCUCCUGCUCGUUGUAGGUGUUGCUGGUGCCGACGAGAGCUUAUGGGGUCCAAGCUGUCAGUGCGGUUACGAUCUGGUGUUGCAUCUUGGCAUGGCGGUGGCGAUGCUCUUGGAGUGCGGCGGUGAUGACUGGUGCGGAUUUGAGGAAGAUGGUGGAGAAUACGACCACCUAUUGAAGGGCGGGUUGGCGUUGACCCUGAAGCCGGCGUUGAAGAGGCUUGGACUCGUUCCUUAUCGGGCUAGAUCCAGAAGCCGGUGUUGAAGAGGCUCGGACCCCAAUUAAUGUUCCUUAUCGGGCUAGAUCCAGCCUUUAGCUCAUUAACGGACUUCGAUUGAUGUUCCUUAUCAGGCUAGAUUCAGCCUUUAGCUCAUUAACGCCUCCUGGCUAGGGAUGGUAUGCAGGUGUACAACCGCUUGUAUUCUCUUUGUUUUCUGUUGUUUGUCAUAUCAUCCAUGUAUCCUUAAAUAAAAGUAAUGUGUGCCUACGGGCGUGCAUCCUUUUUUCUGGCUUUGCAUUAUUCACAUCGUUAUGACAAAAUUGGCUACAGAGUAAUUAACAUCAUUCUCUCGGUCCAUGGACCCGAGCAUCACUCUAUAGCUAGCAGUGUCAGCAGUCGACGACACUGCAAGCGGGCAAUUUCCUCACACGCCUAUCCUCCAUCCGCUGCCUGACCUCCAUGGCGUCGCUCCAUCUAUCAGCCCCCGCAUACGCAUUGCUCAUCAGCGUGUAGUCCCCGCCGUUCCCGCCGUCCAGCUCCCUGAGCCUCUCGGCGGCCACCUCGGCGACGCCCAAAUCACCGUGCGUUCUGGCCGCCCCCAGCAGUAUCCUGUAGACGACGGGCUCAGGAGCGACGGGCAUCUCGGCGAUGAACCCCAGCGCUUUCGUCAGCCGACCGGCGCGCCCCAGGAGGUCGACGACGACGCCGUAGUGCUUCAUCUGCGGCUCCACGCCGUGGACCGACCUCAUGCUCUCGAAGUGGCCGAGCCCCUCCUCGACGAGCUCCGCGUUGGCGCACGCGAUCAGCACACCGAGGAAGGUGACCUCGUUCGGCCUGAACCCUUCGGCGAGCAUGGCGCGGAAGGCGCCCAGGGCUUCGUGUUCGGAGCCGUUGUUCGCCAGCCCCAUUAUGAUCGAGUUCCAUGACAGGGUGUCCUUCUCUUUCGUUUCUCUGAAGACCUGCAGCGCCUCCUUGGUGCUUCCGCAUUUCGCGUACAUGUCGAUCAGAGAAUUGUGCAGGAUGGUGUCGGCUUCGAUGCCGUGUCGCCUCACGUAGUCGUGGAUCCACUUGCCGAGAUCGAGAGCGCCUAGGUGCGCGCAGGCAGAGAGUACACUCGCGAGCACGACCGCGUCCGGUUUCACCUUGGCUCUCUGCAUCUGCCUGAAGAGUUCCAAGGCGUCAGAGAACUGACUGGCUUGUGAAUAGCCGGAUAUCAUAGAGCUCCAUGAGAUCAGAUCUUUGCUAGGAAUUUCCUCGAAUAACCUUCUUGCGGAGACCAGAUCCCCCGCUUUCGAAUAUGCGGUGAUCAUUGCGUUCAUUGUCACGGUGUUCCUAUCCUUCAUGUUGAAGAAAACCUUUUCAGCCGAUUGCAGCUGCCCACGUCUGCCAUAGUAAUCUAUCAAAGUAUUGCCCAAGUAGAUAUCCACCUCUAUGCAGUAAUCCUCUAUGUACUUGACCAAGCAAUCUGCCAUGCUCCAAUCUCCUAGACGAGUGCACGCAGAAACAACCUUGACCAUAGUGACCUUAUCAGCUCUCACUCCUUCGCCGUGCAUCAACCUGAAUAACUUCAAGACCUCUUGUAAUCUAUUGCACUGGCUGUAUCCACAUAUCAAAGAGUUCCAGGACACCACAUCCUUAACCAGCAUCUCAUGGAAAACAGAUCUUGCGCAGCACAAAUCACCACAGGCAGCAUAUAGAUGAAUCAGCGAAUUGGAAACGAAGAUAUCCGAAAGAAGCCCGAAUUUCAGUACAUGGUUGUGCAUCUGUUUCCCUUCCUUAAGAGCACUAAUCCUUGCACAAGCCUUCACUACAAAUGGGAACGUCAGGUUGUCCGGCUCCAUACCUUCUCCUCGAGCCUUCUUGUAGAAAGCAAUUGCAUCUUCUGGUGCAUCGCUUUGAGCAAGCCCCCUGAGUAUGAUAUUCCGAAGGUAAGUUGUUGGUGCUUCAAUCUGCCCAUAUACUUUAUGAGCAAGAGCCAAAUCUGGUUGUAGAAUAGCAUAGAAUCUGAGAAUCUUAGACAUUGCAUAUUGGCAAUUGUACAGACCAGAAACAAUGAGAUGGCCAUGAAGCUUCUUUAUGGCUUCCAUCAUUACAAUGCUGAAAGAAAACUGGAUUUUUUUCAUGAACAGUGGAUCAGUGAGGGGAAAUGCAGUAUGGCACAUGUCACUCAACACAUCUGCUUCCUGGAAGGGAUUAACAAGAUAAGUAAAAGAGCAACAAAAAGUAAUACUGUGAACUAGUACAAAAGCGGCAAAGAAUAAUACCGUGAACUAGUCUUUUUGAAAAUGGAACAAAUGACCAUAUUGUCGAUGCUUAUUAACAACAUAUUAUACAAAAAAACGAAUAGUGGAUAAUGAGAUUGUGAUUUUUAAAUACAAAGGUCAUAUGAUUCAACAAUCAUUCAGCAACAACAACAAAGCCUUUAGUCCCAAACAUGUUGGGGUAGGCUAGAUUUGAAACCCAUAAGAUAAAAAACUCUCAGUUCUUCUAUCUUUGCACGAAAGAUAUAAAAGGUAAAAGAACACAAUAAACCCACCAUAAAGUAGGAAGAUCUAAUCGCAUUUGGUAUAAUGCAGGGAGACAAUUGUAAUGAUGGAACAAAAACUCUUAAAACUGCAUGGAGCUUCUUCCCAUGAUUUGGUUCUGAAUUACUGACUCUCAUCAACCAAAGCAAGCCCAGGAACCUUAACAGCAUUUCUCUCAUCUACUAGCUUUCGUGCUCUUUCAGCAUCACUAAACCUACCGAGCUCAGUAAGCAUAUUGGAUACCACCACAAAAUCACCUCCAGAUUCUCUUUCAAUGUCUAGUAUUUUCUUCAUUGCCCUCUUCCCCAUCUCCACUUCUCCAUACUUACUGCAACAACCCAGCAGUGUCCUCCACACAACUGAAUUAACCUCCAUAGGCAGACCACUUAUUACUUGCUCAGCCUCACAUAAUCGUCCAGCCCUCCCUAGCAUGUCUAUGAUACAACCAAAAUGUUUGAUCUCUGGAGUUAGAUUGUAUUCAUAAACCAUGCUUCUGAAAAACAGUACUCCUUGCUCGACCAGCCCGCCAUGGUUGCAAGCAUUGAGAACACUUAAGAAGGUGACUCUGUUAGGCCUGAUUCCAGCUCUUCUCAUCUCUGCAAACAGUUCAACUGCCUCAGUUGACAACCCGUGCAUUGCAAGCCCUGAAAUUAUUGAUGUCCAUGACACCAAGUUUCUCCUACCCAGCAUUUCAUGGAAAAUCUUCAGUGAGUUGUUUAUAGACCCAAGCUUGGCAUACAAGUCUAUGAGCGAAUUCCCAACUCGGAUAUCCAACACAAGAAGACCCUUCUUCUCACAAUAGCCGUGCAAGGCCUCGCCCAAAAGAAUCCUUCCAAUAUUUGAUACCGCAGGUACAACCGCUAAAACAGUUAUCUCGCUUGGAUCAACGCCUUCAGCCAUCAUGCGGCGAAAGAGAGCAACGGCCUCCACAGACCGACAGGAGCGUGUGUACCCAUCAAUCAUCCCGGUCCACGAGACAACAUUCCUACAGGGCAUCCGCUCAAAGAGCAGCCUCGCGUACUCAACCUCGCCCCGCGCAGCAAACCCGGUGAUCACCACGUUCCAAGUAACCGCAUUCUUCGCCGGCAUCUCCUCGAACGCAAUCCGAGCAUCCGCCAGGCACCCGCACACGACAUAUGCGUUGACAAGGGCGGUAUGCACGUAGGCGUGGAUCUCGAACCCCUUGCGGACGGCGAGCCCGUGCAGCUGCGCGCCGGCCCGCGGCCACGCCAGGGCCGCGCAGGCCCCGAGGGCGUGCACGAAGGCGUAGGUGUCGUCGGCCGCGUGCCGGCGCGCGUCCCUGAAGAGGCUCAGGGCCUCCUGGGGGAGAGGGCCGCGGGAGUAGGCCUUGAGGAGCGCGUGCCAGGGCGUGGGACGGCGAUCGAACACCUGGCGGGCAACGAGCUGGGCGUGGAUCUGGAGGAGCGGGCGCCUCUCCGCCUGGUGCCUCAGGAGGAGGGCGACCAGGCCCCGGACGUGGGCGGCGGCGGCGUCGUGGGAGGGCGCGCAGCCCUGCCGCAAGAGGUCAGCCGGGAACCGCGCCAUGAGGGGGGCUCCGUCUUCUCCAGCCCUACCAACGCCUCUCUCGUCUACUUAGAAUAUGUCAUGGUGCAAUGGAGUGAGAGAGAGAGAGAGAGAGAGAGAGAGAGAGAGAGAGAGAGGCAUUACCUUGUCUGGAGAGAAGGUGGAGGAGGCUCGACUCGAAAUCGUCCUAGGCUUUCUCCCUCCCGCGCCGGCGUCCAGGACAAAAAGAAUGUGCUUUUGCUUGCGCUUCCCGGGCGGACCACGUUGCUCUGUUGACAGUUGACACGAGGCAACUCGCCGCCCGAUCCUCACUCGUCGCUCCUCCUCGAUGUUGCGCAGGGUCCUCGCCGGAGCGAUCACGCGCCUCUCCGGCCCCGGAUUCUCCAGCCCACCGCCGAGGAGACGGCCUCUCCUCCCGCCCAACGCCCCGCGCCUCUCCACCGCGCGGGUGCCGUCCGGCGGCGGCGAGGGCAGCGAGGGGGAGGAUGACGACGACCCGUUCUCCUUCCCGGACCAGCAGCAGCUCCCGCCGGACGUGGCGCGGGGCGUGGACGCCGUCGUCGCGGCGGCCGAGGGCGCCCACUUGGACGCCGCGCGCGCCGGGGCCCUCCUGGAGCAAUGCGGCGCCGCGGCUUCCGAGACGCUCGUGGUGGCCGCGCUCUCGCGCCUCCGCAACAGCUGGGCCGCCGCGCACGCCGCGUUCCGGUGGGCGGCCUCGCGGGGGCGGCCGCAGCCCGGGUACGCCCCGGGGCGCCACGCGUGCCACUCCAUGCUCGCCAUCCUCGCCAGGCACCACCGCUUCGACGACGCCCGCGCCCUGCUCGACGAAAUGCGCCGCAGGUCGCUCGCGUCGCCGAGGGCGGUGCUCCUCCUAAUCCGGCGCUACUGCGCCGCGCGUGACGUUGCUAGCGCGAUCGCCGCGUUCCGCUCGCUCCCGAGCUUCGGCAUUGAGCCCGGGGUCACCCAGUUCCAUGGCCUCCUCAGCGCCCUCUGCCGGUACAAGAACGUCAAGGACGCGGAGCACCUGCUUCUGUCGAGCGGGAAGGAGUUCCCGUUCGAGACCAAGGGCUUCAACAUCGUGCUCAACGGCUGGUGCAACAUGGUCUGCAGCACGCGGGAGGCCAAGAGGUUUUGGGUCGUCAUGGAGCUCAGGGGCAUCGCGAGGGACGUUGUGUCUUAUGGGAGCAUGAUCUCGUGCUUCUCGAAGGCCGGGAGCUUGGACUCGGUCAUGAAGCUCUUUAACCGCAUGAAGGAGGCUGGCAUUGUGCCUGACCGGAAGGUGUACAAUGCAGUUGUGCACGCGCUCGCCAAGGGACGGUGCGUGGAUGAGGCAAGAGCGCUCGUCCGGAGUAUGGAGGAGAAGGGGGUUGCACCAGACACGGCCACUUACAACUCCCUCAUUCGGCCUCUUUGCAAGGCUCGUCAGGUCCAGGAGGCAAGGGAGAUGUUUGAUGAGAUGGUAGGAAGGGGGCUGUUGGCAUCGGUGAGGACAUUCCAUGCAUUGUUCGAUGUUGCUACAAGCCCCACUGAGGUCUUUGAUCUGUUGGACAAGAUGAAGGCACUACAUUGCAAGCCAGAGAUGGACACUUAUAUUAUGUUGAUCCGGAAGUUCUGCAGGUGGAAGCAGCACGACAGUGUGGAGAAACUGUGGAACGCAAUGCCUGCAAACGGACUGACCCCUGAUCGGAGUGCAUACAUCGUGUUCAUACAUGGAUUGUUCCUGAAUGGGAAGCUAGAGGAGGCUGCAAAGUAUUUUGAGGAGAUGAAAGUCAAGGGAUUUUCACCAGAGGAGAAGACUGAAUCAAUGAUACAGGCGUGGCGUUCAGGCAGAGAGCUUGCCAAGGCAUCGGCUUCUGUCGGUUCAAAACAUGGUUCUGUGUCUCUCAAAGUAACUCGUAGAGAGUGGUAAAGAUGAAGAGCACUUGAAAGUGAUCUAUAGAAAGAAACACAGCUGUUGUUUUCGAGUAACUGCUAGACACUGGAGAGAGAUUAUUUGGUUAUUCAGAAAGAUGAGUCUGAUUACUUUCAAGUGAUCUUCAUCUACUUUGUUGUGGUUGGUUUGGUCAAGGAAGCCACGCUCGCAAGGGCCCUUGCUUUCGUUAGAGUUAUUGUCAGCGAUGACCUCAGCUGAGGGUAUGCUGUUUGGUUUCCUUUGUUCCAGUCUGUAAUCAAACUUUGUUCCUUCUAACAAGAAGGCGCAGAGCUCCUACCGUAUUUGAAAAGAGUAUGUUUACCCAGUUAUUUUCGUUCUCACUAGAUUGCUUGGCUGUAGAUUGGAAUUAGAAAGUGCAACCUAGGGUUUGUCCUUUUGAAACUUGGAUAGGCAUCACUUUGCUAUGACCCUUCUUUUGUAGCUCAUAGUUUGUACUGGGUACAUGUUCAAUGAUUGGUUCACAACAUAUAAUGACUGUCCACUAUAUUCAUACUGGUCCGACUCCUAUACUUUCACAUAAUAAUAUGUGCAGAGAUUUUACAAAAUAGUGAGAGCUCAUUUCAUAUGGUUUGAUACUAGUACUAAAUACACACUUCAAUAUGUAGCUGUAUUCAAUAUUAGCAGUUCCAUUUUCAUGCUUCCAUUGUUUGCAGAGUGUACUGGCAUAUUUAUUCACAUAUAACCAUUUAGUGACCACUCAUCGCACUGCAGAAUUGGCCGCUGUGUGAAGGUUUAGGUCAUAUAAUUUUCUUCUUGACAAACAUAUUGUUUUCUUUCUGCCAGCCAGCCAUUGCAACCUUUCUGAUAGCAUUAAUUCAGUGCAUGUGCACACUAAAUAGUCCAGCUACAAGAGCACAUUGGAUCGAAGCUGGGGCGGGUUGCCGCCAGCCUGCUUGUAAUCAAUGAAUCUGUUGAUUCUGAGGUGAGCGUCUACCAGAAUUCCAGUUAUAUCUGAUCAGUUAGGCGUUAUUUUCUCUGCUAUCCUGUGGCUUCAGUUAGGCCUAGUAGCUAGUGGAUUCGAUCAUACCGACGAUAAAUAUUGUACGCGUCAAAAAUUUAUCUUCGCAUGUGAUGUUUCAAGACCUUUCUGUAAUAUCCUGUAGGAUAUCCCUGCUAACAGCAAGUAGCUUGUUCUGUCAGUUGUCGCUACAUAUAUCCUGAUCUCUGUUAUGCAAGUCCAGUCUCCAAAAGAUGGUGUUGAUGCAAGUUGCUUUAAAUUUUGUUGAUAAGACGAUGACAGGUAAUGGAUACAGUUAUGGUGAAAACAACUUAUUUUCUCUGUACAAGCUACAGCCAACUGAGCCAUGCUUGUCAUGCUAGUGUCCACUGUCAAUUUCAUGGCAUCUUAUGGCUGCUAGCCUGCAAGUGUCGCUAACUCAUAUGACUCGUGAUGCAGACUAACAUAGUGCAUGAUCACGUCCCAACUUUAACCGAUAGCUGCGUGGUCGACAACCAGUUGCAGUCUGCCUGUUCAUGUAUGCACUGAAUGUUACCAUUAUGCUGUUAAUAUCUGAACCCACUGUAACCAAAUUCGGAUAAACACCAAAUAUUCUUUUUUAAAUAAUUGGAAGAGGUGAAAAAUGAAAUAUCAGCUGUGAAAUAAUCAUAUAUUACCUCCGUCCCAAAUUACCUGUCUUAGAUUUUUGUAGAUACAGCUAACACUAAAACUGUCUAGAUACAUCCAAGACAAGUAAUACUGGACGGAGGGAAUAUGUGUUUCAGAUUUGUUUCAGAUUGAUCAAGGGUCAGAAGAAUAAGUUUGGUGUUUAGACUUGAGAUUAUUUUGAGAACAAAAUCACAUGUUUGUUCAGAAUACCAAAUUUAUAGAUCGAAACCAAAGAAUAAAUACUGCUACAAGCUUACCACCACAUCUUCAGAAUCAUGCCUGGGAAAUUUCUACCUCUUUCUAGUUCAACAAAGUAAGUAUUUGUCUAAUCACUUCUAUUUCCAAUAAUUUACACCAUAUCUUAUUCCAUCUCAGAAUGGUGGCAAGAUUGUUUGCCACAUCGGCCUCAUCAUCUGCGGCGAGCUCAUCGGCUGCAGGUAGCCGCUGCCGUUCUGCCCAGGCAUCGUUGUUGGGUUCACCAUCUGCCCCAUGUUCAUAUAACAAGUCUGCAGGUCGUCCAUACUCAGGCCGGUGAACCAGUCGCUGUCCUCCUUCACCGUCACCAUCCUCGCCUGCUGCUGCGCCAUGUCCAUGAAACCAUGCUGCUGCAGGCCGGAGGCGCUGUCGAUCUCGGAGGAGUCGUGCGUCUGGAAGCUGUCGGACAUGGCGUCGGUCGCCAGCGCGUCCAUGACCUCCCCGUUCGGCCCGGCCUCCACAGCCAUGUCCUGCUCCACCUUGAGCUUCUCCCAGUUGUUCUUCUUGUUGUACAGCCGGCACAGCACCCAUUCGUCCAGCUGUAAUAGCCGCACAUCACAGAGAGAGAAGGAUCAGUAUUCAGUAUCGAUUGAUUGAUCAGUAUUGUUGGUGAGCAAAGUGCAAACUGAAAGGAAGACGCUGGGGUUACCUUGAGGGAUCCCUUCUUGCCGGGUGCGCGGUCGGCUUCGGCGAUGCGGUACUCGUGCAUGAUCCAGUCGGUCUUGACGCCCCUGGGCGCCCUGCCGGAGUAGAAGACGAGCGCUUUCUUGAUGCCGACCGUCCUGCCGCCGCUCUCCCUGGGCGCCACCGGCUUGUCGGCGCCCGUGGCCUUCCAGUAGCCGGUGCCGGCGGAGCGGUUGGGGCGCGAGCCGUUGGGGUACUUGCGGUCGCGCGGCGUGAAGAAGUACCACUCCCUGCUCCCGAACAGCGCCCUCUCUGCACGAACGCCAAGGUCAGCACAGCACACACUGAAGGAGCAAGAACGAGGAAGCCAAGAAGGAGGAAGGAGGAGAGGAAAAAACAGGGGAGGGGAGGGGAGAGAGGAGGAAGAGAAGGCGCACCGGGCAGAUCCCAGGGGUUGAACUUGUAGAGAUCGACCUCGGCGAUGAUGGGCACGGGCUGCGGCUGGCCGGCCACCUUCCUGCAGAGGUAGUGCACGACGAGCUCGUCGUCCGUGGGGUGGAACCGGAAGCCCGGCGGCAGGUUGAGCUCCGCCUCCGCGUCCCUCCGCCCGCUGCUCCCCUCCGCCCCCGCCGCCGCCCCCGUCGGCUCAGCCUUCACCAUUGCCGUCAUCAUCCUCCUCCUCCUCGCGUUCGCUCGCUCGCUCGCUCGCUCCACCACCUUGGAGAAAAGCCCAGCCCUCGCGCGGUGGUGCCGCGGUGUUGGAAGGGAAGAGAAAGGCGGCUGGUUGUGAUACCGCCUCCUGGGACCUGGAGCCCUUCUCUUUAGUCGAUGGCUCGUUUCCUUGGCGACCAAGUACGUUUGUAGGGCGGGGCGCCCGGGGCGGCUAUAUACGGGCCCCCGCCCGCGCCACGUGGGCCGCGGCGGGCCCGCGCGUGCCCCCGAGCUGCUCGUGGCGUGGGCUUGGAUGAGGACGGCCGGCCGUGCGCUGCUGCGCGGAAGUUUCCCGCGGCGACAAGAGUUUGACCCCUCCCGACGGCUGCGCUGAAAGGGACGGAAGGGUCAAAAGCGCGCGGGAGGGAUUUUCCGGCGGGAAAAUAUAUCCCCGCGACCAGCCUCGGCGGCCCGUCGAAUGGCCGCGCGUCUAGGUGCGUCGGCAGGCGCGGGCUGGUCCUCCGUGUUCUCGACCUCUCAUCUGCUGCAUUGCACCACGUGCGAGUUGCGGCGGCCAUGCACUACUAUGUCGUGAUACGUGGAGGAAGGUAUGAGGACAUGAGGUUACGACCCGCGCAUGCGCAUGGCAUGCCUGCAUGCGUGAAGGUUUUCUUUCCAUCGCGCCUUGGAUUUUUCUCCGGGGAAAACUUUUAAAAGUUGAGGGAUCACGCUAAGCUAGAAUGCUACGUGACCCUUCAAAGAUGCCAUUGUUUAGUUUCGGCCUAUAAACGUGGAUACAUGACCACGUCAAGUCCUACUCUCUGUGUAUAGAAGAAAAUAAACGUGGAUGCAAUUUUUUUCUAAAAAUUAAGACAUUAAUCCAGGCGGUCUAUAUUAAUGUCUAUAUUAAACUAUAUUGAAACGAGUAACACAUACACUAAAGCAUGUCUAUGUACAUUUAAUUCAGAAAAAAAGUUACAACAUCUUAUAUUCAUGAACGAAGGAAGUACAUAUGUCAUUUUUUUCUUUUUUUUUGCGGGAAAAACUUUCAAUCUAUUUAUCUUCAAUCAUGGUAAUACAACGAACACUAGAAAUAAUAAAAAUUACAUCAAGGUCCGUAGACCACCUAGCGACGACUACAAGCACUGAAGCGAGCUGAAGGCGCGCCGCUGUCAUCGCCCCUCCCUUGCCGGAGCCGGGCAGACGUUGUUGUAGUAGACAGUCGGGAAGUCGUCAUGCUAAGACCCCAUAGAACCAACGCACCAGAACAGCAAACCGCCGCAGAUGAAGAGUGUAGAUCAAAGGAUCCACCCUAAAGAUACACGAACGAAGACGAACGACGAACAGAUCCGAGCAAAUAUAUCCACCAAAGAUAGAUCUGCCGGAGACACACCUCCAUAGGCCCAUCAAUGAUGCUAGACAACUCACCGGAACGGAGGCUAGGCGGGGAGACCUUUAUUCUAUCUUCAGGGAGCCGCAGCCGUCUCGCUUUCAUGAAUAGGACGCAAACCCUAAUAAAACUCAAAAAAAGAUCUAAAAACGGAGCCCUCUCACCGGCAAAGGCCGAGAUCCACUCCAUCUCCAUGGCCUAAGGCCACCGGAGACGGGGCGGACCGGCGCCGGCGCCGGCGGGAGGCAGAGAACCCUAACUUUUUGAAGGCGGCGGCUGGCUAGGAAGACCGUGGCUCAAUCCUGGACCACUUUUUAUUUCUGCGAAAGGAAAUAAUUCACAACUAAAUGGGAAGUACAUAUGACAUUUCAAUUGCGUCCAACAUGGAUUAUCACCGUCCUACGGGCCAACAUAGUUAAUUCCCAUGUCGGCCACGGAAGGAUAUGCUUGAAACAUUAUCUAUCUUCACAAUUCAUAAUUCUCAAGUCGAUCCACAGAACAGAAGGAUAUGCUUGAAACAUUAUCUAUCUUCACAGUUCAAAAUUCUCAUGCCGAUCCACAGAAGAACAGAAGGAUAUGCUUGGAACAUCACAACAUUUAAACAAUUCAAGUUCCCCAAAAAGGAAAUUUUAAACAAUUCGAGAGGAUAAUGCUCAAGCUUGGCCUGUUCAUACCGAAGCAUACCACAUACUCCUACCUAGUACCGCCAUCUGUUUACCUAGUCAGGGACACCUAGAGAGACAGAGUAGGUCUAUCUCCUCUUGUCUGUAUAGUACAGUAAAAUAAAGAAAUCUGGCCCAAUCUGCACGUGCCUCCCUCCUCCUGGAUGGCCACCUACGUGCACUGAACCUGAACCUCACCCGGGCGCGCCUCCAGCCGCGACGGCGGGGGUGGGGUGGCGAGCAAAUCCUCGACCCGGGCCACCCGGCGGAGGUGCGGUUGGUCGGCCAGCCGUAUGGCAGAUAAAAGAAAAAGGAUAGCGCCUUGUCGGCGGCCGAGGUUUCUCAUUCCCCCGGCGGUGGACUAUGGUAUGAAAUUCCAGCCGAAAAGGACGGACGGGCGGGCAGUUCCGGGGAAAGCGAUGGACUUUUUGUCGUGGUGACAGUGAGCUUACGUUUUCCCAUGGGCCAAAACUGGAUUGGGCUGGGGAUUUUCUUCAGUUUAAUUUACAAGAUUGCUGUGUUGAUUCGCUGUCAGGUUACCGCUCUUGGUAUCGCACAGCUGGUGACUGCCGGGAUUAGCUGUGAUCCGGUGAGUGGCAUGUCGCGUUGCAUACAUCACUGGCCGCGUCUCGGCUAUCGGAAUGACGGGGAGCACUCGAGAUAUUAUUAUCCGCCGAUACUUUGGUGGGCCCUUGAUGGAUUUCUGUGGAAGCUUUGUUUCUGUCCUGUUCCGUAAACUAUUGCGGAGAUUGAAAUUAAGACAUGUGGGAGGAGGUGUGUGGGCAAGUUAACUGCAAUUGGGCAUCGCAGUUGAUUUUACAUGUGGUGUGCUUUUAGAAAAUGAAAACUAAGUUACCACCAGCUUGCCAAACAGGGGAGUAUCCAAACUCCACACCACAGCCAGCAGUGUCGACGUUGGGGCUAUGGAGCCAGUCCUGUCAGCGCCUCAGGCAGCGCCAUAGAUGAUCAGGAAGCAGCGACAACAGGCGAAGACCCCGUUCAUCGUCCGACAAGCAGACGAAGGGCGGCAGAGUUCAAAUCAUCUCGUGGGCCUGCGGCACGGCCCACUCGAGUGAAGACGAAGCCCAUCUGGAACGUCGGCCCGGAAUGGACGUCCUAGUUUAAAUACCCCUUGUAACGUUUGAAUCGAGUUGGCUUGGAUCGGACGGCGGCUUCGGCCGAUUGUAACUAGCUGUAGCAGUGAGGGAGGUUGGGAGGAUAAACACGCUACCGAAUUUCCCCAUUUCGCCAUGAACUCUAGUUUCCUCUCAUAGAUCGAUCGCGACCCUUACACUUGGUAUCAGAUUCGGCGGUCCUGGCGCUUCCCCAACAUCACCACGAGACGCGGUGCACCAGUUCAGCCACGCGCCAUGGAGCCACCUCGUGUAAAUACAGCUCCUCCUCGUUAUGUGUCAACACCUCCGGGUCACUUCUCCAACCCCCUGGAAAACCUCAUCGCGGCAUCGGCUCGUUUGGCGGCUCUCCCAAUGGAAGGCGACUCGCCAGCAGCAAUUGAAACCCGAAGGGUGAGAGAACUGUUGGGGAACGUAGCCGAAAUUCAAAAUUUUCUACGCAUCACCAAGAUCAAUCUAUGGAGAAGUCUACCAACGAGGGAAGGAGAGUGCAUCUACAUACCCUUGUAGAUCGCUACGCGGAAGCGUUCAAGAGAACGGGGUUGAUGGAGUCGUACUCGUCGUGAUCCAAAUCACCGAUGAUCCUAGUGCCGAACGGACGGUACCUCCGUGUUCAACACACGUACAGCCCGGUGACGUCUCACAUGCCUUGAUCCAGCAAGGAGAGAGGGAGAGGUUGAGGAAGACUCCAUCCAGCAGCAGCACAAUGGCGUGGUGGUGGUGGAGGAGCGUGGCACUCUAGCAGGGCUUCGCCAAGCACUGCAAGAGACGAGGAGGGAGAGGGGUAGGGCUGCGCCAAGAAGGAGAGGAACUCGUGUGUGUUGGGCAGCCCAAACCUCAAGUAUAUAUAGGGGAAGGGGAGGGGCUGCGCCCCCACCUAGGGUUCCCUCCCUAGGGGUGGCGGCAGCCCCCAGAUCCCAUCUGGGUGGCGGCCACAAGGGGGAGAGGGGGAGGCGCACCUGGGGUGGGCCUUGGGGCCCAUCUGCCCUAGGGUUUGCCCCCUUUCCCUCUUGGAGGCGCCUUGGGCCUUGGUGGGAGGUGCCCCAGCCCACCUAGGGGCUGGUCCCUUCCCACUAUUGGCCCAUGUAGGCCUCCGGGGCUGGUGGCCCCACUUGGUGGACCCCUGAGACCCUCCCGGUGGUCCCGGUACGUUACCGAUGAACCCCGAAAGUUUUCCGGUGACCAAAAUAGGACUUCCCAUAUAUAAAUCUUUACCUUCGGACCAUUCCGGAACUCCUCGUGAUGUCCGAGAUCUCAUCCGGGACUCCGAACAACAUUCGGUAACCACGUAUAUCUAUUCCCUAUAACCCUAGCGUCAUCGAACCUUAAGUGUGUAGACCCUACGUGUUCGGGAAACAUGCAGACAUGACCGAGACACCUCUUCGGUCAAUAACCAACAGCGGGAUCUGGAUACCCAUGUUGGUUCCCACAUGUUCCACGAUGAUCUCAUCGGAUGAACCACGAUGUCGAGGAUUCGAUCAAUCCCGUAUACAAUUCCCUUUGUCUAGCGGUAUUGUACUUGCCCGAGAUUCGAUCGUCGGUAUCCCAAUACCUUGUUCAAUCUCGUUACCGGCAAGUCUCUUUACUCGUUCCAUAACACAUCAUCCCGUGAUCAACUCCUUGAUCACAUUGUGCACAUUAUGAUGAUGUCCUACCGAGUGGGCCCAGAGAUACCUCUCCGUCACACGGAGUGACAAAUCCCAGUCUCGAUUCGUGCCAACCCAACAGACACUUUCGGAGAUACCUGUAGUGUACCUUUAUAGCCACCCAGUUACGUUGUGACGUUUGGCACACCCAAAGUAUUCCUACGGUAUCCGGAAGUUGCACAAUCUCAUGGUCUAAGGAAAUGAUACUUGACAUUAGAAAAGCUUUAGCAUGCGAACUACAUGAUCUUGUGCUAUGCUUAGGAUUGGGUCUUGUCCAUCACAUCAUUCUCCUAAUGAUGUGAUCCCGUUAUCAAUGACAUCCAAUGUCCAUGGUCAGGAAACCGUAACCAUCCAUUGAUCAACGAGCUAGUCAACUAGAGGCUUACUAGGGACAUGGUGUUGUCUAUGUAUCCACACAUGUAUCUGAGUUUCCUAUCAAUACAAUUCUAGCAUGGAUAAUAAAAGAUUAUCAUGAACAAGGAAAUAUAAUAAUAACUAAUUUAUUAUUGCCUCUAGGGCAUAUUUCCAACAGUCUCCCACUUGCACUAGAGUCAAUAAUCCAGUUCACAUCGAUAUGUGAUUAACACUCAAGGUCACAUCCCCAUGUGACUAACACCCAAAGAGUUCUGGGUUUGAUCAUGUUAUGCUUGUGAGAGAGGUUUCAGUCAAUGGGUCUGCAACAUUCAGAUCCGUAUGUACUUCGCAAAUCUCUAUGUCAUCUUGUAGAUGCAACUACUACGCUACAUUUGGAGCUAUUUCAAAUAACUGUUCUACUUGGAGCUAUUCCAUUAUACGUAUCCGGUAUCUCUACUCAGAGCUAUCCGGAUAGGUGUUAAGCUUGCAUCGACGUAACUCUUUACGUCGAACUCUUUAUCACUUCCAUAACCGAGAAACAUAUCCUUAUUCCUCUAAGGAUAAUUUAGACCGCUACCUGGUGAUCUACUCCUAGAUUACCUUUGUACCCUCUUGCCAGAUAUGUGGCAAGGCACACAUCAGGUGCGGUACUCAGCAUGGCAUACCGUAUAGAGCCUAUGACAAAAGCAUAGGGGACGACCUUCGUCCUUCCUCUUUCUUCUGCCGUGGUCGAGCUUUAAGUCUUAACUUCAUACCUUACAACUCAGGCAAGAACUCCUUCUUUGACUGAUCCAUCUUGAACACCUUCAAGAUCAUGUCAAGGUAUGUCCUCAUUUGAAAGUACCAUUAAGCGUUUUGAUCUAUCCUUAUAGAUCUUGAUGCUCAAUGUUCAAGUAGCUUAAUCCAGGCUUUCCAUUGAAAAACACUUUCCAAAUAACCCUAUAUGCUUUCCAGAAAUUCUACGUCAUUUUUGAUCAACAACAUAUAUUCAUCAGAAAUUCUAUAGUGCUCCCACUCACUUCUUUGGAAAUACAAGUUUCUCAUAAACUUUUUAUACACCCAAAAUCUUUGAUCAUCUCAUCAAAGCAUACAUUCCAACUCCGAGAUGCUUACUCCAGUCCUUAGAAGGAUUGCUAGAGCUUUGCAUACUUAUUAGCAUCUUUCAGGAUUGACAAAACCUUCCAGUUGUAUCACAUACAACCUUUCCUCAAAAAAUCAUCGAGGAAACAAUGUUUGACAUCCUAUCUGCAAGAUUUCAUAAAUAAUGCAGUAAUCUCUAAUAUAAUUCCAAUAGACUCUUAGCAUUGCUACGAGUGAGAAAGUCUCAUCAUAGUCAACUCCUUGAACUUGUCGGAAAAAAUCUUAACGACAAGUCAAGCUUACUUAAUGGUGAUACUUACCAUCAUUGUCCGUCUUCCUUUUAAAAUCCAUCUGUACUCAAUAGCCUUACGACCAUCGAGCCGUUCUGCCAAAGUCUACACUUUGUUUUCAUACAUGGAUCCUCUCUCGGAUUUUAUGGACUCGAGCCAUUUAUCGGAAUCCGGGCCCACCAUCGCUUCUCCAUAGCUCGUAGGUUCAUUGUUGUCUAGCAACAUGACUUUCAAGACAGGAUUACGUACCACUCUGAAGUAGUACGCAUCCUUGUCAUCCUACGAGGUUUGGGAGUGACUUGAUCCAAAGUCUCAUGAUCAAUAUCAUAAGCUUCCACUUCAAUUGGUGUAGGUGCCACAUGAACAACUCUUUGUGCCCUGCUAUACACUAGUUGAAGUGACGGUUCAAUAACCUCAUCAAGUCUCCACCAUCCUCCCACUCAAUUCCUCCGAGAGAAACUUUUCCUCGAGAAAGGACCCGAUUCUAGAAACAAUCCCUUAUUGCUUUCAGAUCUGAGAUAGGAGGUAUACCCAACUGUUUUGGUUGUCCUAUGAAGAUGCAUUUAUCCGCUUUGGGUUCGAGCUUAUCAGCCUGAAACUUUUUCACAUAAGCGUCGCAGCCCCAAACUUUUAAGAAAUGACAGCUUAGGUUUCUCUAAACCAUAGUUCAUACGAUGUCAUCUCAUCGGAAUUACGUGGUGCCCUAUUUAAAGUAAAUGUGGUUGUCUCUAAUGCCUAACCCAUAAACUAUCGUGGUAAUUGGAUAAGAGACAUCAUGGUAUGCAUCAUAUCCAAUAGGGUGCAGUUAUGAUGUUCGGACACACCAUCACACUAUGGUGUUCCAGGCUGUAUUAGUUGUGAAACAAUUUCCACAAUGUCUUAAUUCUGUGCCAAACUCGUAAUUCAGAUAUUCAUCUCUAUGAUCGUAUCAUAGAUGUUUUAUCCUCUUGUCACGACGAUCUUUCAACUUCACCCUGAAAUUACUUGAACCUUUCAAUAAUUCAGACUCAUGAUUCAUCAAGUAAAUAUACUCAACAUCUACUCAAAUCAUCUGUGAAGUAAGAACAUAACGAUAUCCACUACAUGCCUCAGCACUCAUUGGACCGCACACAUCAAAAUGUAUUACUUCCAACAAGUUGCUUUCUAGUUCCAUUUUACUGAAAACGAGGCUUUCAGUCAUCUUGCCCAUGUGGUAUGAUUUGCAUGUCUCAAGUGAUUCAAAAUCAAGUGAGUCCAAAUGGUCCAUUUGCAUGGAGUUUCUUCAUGCAUAUACACCAAUAGACAUGGUUCGCAUGUCUCAAACUUUUCAAAACGAGUGAGCCCAAAGAUCCAUCAACAUGGAGCUUCUUCAUGCGUUUCAUACCGAUAUGACUCAAAUUGCAGUGCUACAUUUGUGUGGUACUAUCAUUACUAUCUUAUACCUUUGGCAUGAAAAUGUGUAUCACUACGAUUGGGAUGGUAUUAUUCAAAUAAACAGAGUAACCAUUAUUCUCGUUAAAUGAAUAACCGUAUCGCGAUAGACAUAAUCCAAUCAUGUCUAUGCUCAACGCAAACACCAAAUAACAAUUAUUUAGGUUUUAAUACCAAUCUCGAUGGUAGAGGGAGCGUACGAUAUUUGAUCAACCUUGGAAAUACUUCCAACACAUAUCGUCAUCUCACCUUUUAGCUAGUCUCUGUUUAUUCUGUAGCCUUUUGUUUCGAGUUACUAACACUUAGCAACCGAACCGGUAUCUAAUACCCUGGUGCUACUAGGAGUACUAGUAAAGUACACAUCAACACAAUGUAUAUCCAAUAUACUUCUAUCGACAUUGCCAGCCUUCUUAUCUACCAAGUAUCUAGGGUAAUUCUGCUCCAGUGGCUGUUCCCCUUAUUACAGAAGCACUUAGUCUAGGGUUUGGGUUCAACCUUGGGUUUCUUCACUAGAGCAGCAGCUGAUUUGCCGUUUCAUGAAGUAUCCCCUUUUGCCCUUGCCCUUCUUGAAACUAGUGGUUUCACCAACCAUCAACAAUUGAUGCUCCUUCUUGAUUUCUACUUUUGUGGUGUCAAACAUCGCGAAUAUCUCAAGGAUCAUCAUAUAUGUCCCUGAUAUAUUAUAGUUCAUCACGAAGCUCUAGCAGCUUGGUGGUAAUGACUUCAGAGAAACAUCACUAUCUCAUCUGGAAGAUCAACUCCCACUCGAUUCAAAUGAUUGUUGUACUCAGACAAUCUGAGCACAAGCUCAACAAUUGAGCUUUUCUCCCUUAGUUUGCAGGCUAAGAAAAUCGUCGGAGGUCUUAUACCUCUUGACGUGGGCAUGAGCCUGAAAUCCCAAUUUCAGCCCUCGAAACAUCUCAUAUGUUUCACGACGUUUUAAAACAUCUUCGGUGCCUCAACUCUAAACCGUUUAACUGAACUAUCACGCAAUUACCAAAAUGUGUAUGUCAGAUGUUCGCAACAUCCACAGACGACGUUCGAGGUUCAGCACACUGAGUGGUGCAUUAAGGACAUAAGCCUUCUACUGUCUGCAUAAUCGCUACUAUCAACUUUCAACUAAUUUUCUGUAAGAACAUAUCUAAACAGCAGAACUAAAGCGCGAGCUAUGACAUAAUUUGCGAAGACCUUUUGACUAUGUUCAGGAUAAUUAAGUUCAUCUUAUGAACUCCCACUCAGAUAGACAUCCCUCUAGUCAUCUAAGUGAUCACAUGAUCCGAGUCAACUAGGCCGUGUCCGAUCAUCACGUGAGACGGACCAGUCAUCAUCGGUGAACAUCUUCAUGUUGAUCGUAUCUACCAUACGACUCAUGCUCGACCUUUCUGAUGGGGAACGUUGCAGAAAACAAAAUUUUCCUACGGUUUCACCAAGAUCCAUCUAGGAGUUCAUCUAGCAACGAGUGAUCGGAUUGCAUCUACAUACCUUUGUAGAUCACGCGCGGAAGCGUUCAAAGAACGGGGAUGAGGAAGGCGUACUCGACGUGAUCCAAAUCACCGGAGAUCCUAGCGCCGAAUGGACGGCACCUCCGCGUUCAACACACGUACGGUCAGCGUAACGUCUCCUUCUUCUUGAUCCAGCAAGGGGGAAAGAGAGGUUGAGGAAGAUGGCUCCAGCAGCAGCACAACGGCGUGGUGGUGAUAGAGCUGCAGUACUCCAGCAGGGCUUCGCCAAGCACUAUGGAGGAGGAGGAGGUGUUGGAGAGGGAGAGGGAGGCACCAAAGGCAAGGGUGAGAGGUCCUCCCUUCCCCCCACUAUAUAUAGGGGGCCUAGGGGGGGCGCCGGCCCUAGGAGAUCCAAUCUCCUAGGGGGGCGGCGGCCAAGGGAGGAAUCCCUCCUCCCCAAGGCACCUAGGAGGUGCCUUCCCCUUCUAGGACUCUUCCUUUAGGGUUUCCCCCACCCUAGGCGCAUGGGCCCUAGGGGGAAGUGGCGCCCCAGCCCACUUUGGGCUGGAUCCCUUCCCACUUCAGCCCAUGGGGCCCUCCGGGAUAGGUGGCCCCACCUGGUGGACCCCCGGGACCCUUCCGGUGGUCCCGGUACAAUACCGGUGACCCCGAAACUUGUCCCGAUGGCCGAAAUAGCACUUCCUAUAUAUAAUUCUUUACCUUCGGACCAUUCCGGAACUCCUCAUGAUGUCCGGGAUCUCAUCCGGGACUCCGAACAACAUUCGGGUUACUGCAUAUACAUAUCCCUACGACCCUAGCGUCACCGAACCUUAAGUGUGUAGACCCUACGGGUUCGGGAGACAUGUAGACAUGACCGAGAUUGCUCUCCGGUCAAUAACCAACAGCAGGAUCUGGAUACCCAUGUUGGCUCCUACAUGCUCCUCGAUGAUCUCAUCAUAUGAACCACGAUGUCGAGGAUUCAAGCAACCCCGUAUACAAUUCCCUUUGUCAAUCGGUAUGUUACUUGCCCGAGAUCUGAUCGUCGGUAUCCCAAUACCUCGUUCAAUCUCGUUACCGGCAAGUCACUUUACUCGUACCGUAAUGCAUGAUCCCGUGACCAGACACUUGGUCACUUUGAGCUCAUUAUGAUGAUGCAUUACCGAGUGGGCCCAGUGAUACCUCUUCGUCAUACGGAGUGACAAAUCCCAGUCUUGAUCUGUGUCAACCCAACAGACACUUUCGGAGAUACCCGUAGCAUACCUUUAUAGUCACCCAGUUACGUUGUGACAUUUGGUAUACCCAAAGCACUCCUACGGUAUCUGGGAGUUACACGAUCUCACGGUCUAAGGAAAGGAUACUUGACAUUGGAAAACUCUAGCAAACGAACUAUACGAUCUUGUGCUAUGUUUAGGAUUGGGUCUUGUCCAUCACAUCAUUCUCCUAAUGAUGUGAUCUCGUUAUCAAUGACAUCCAAUGUCCAUAGUCAGGAAACCAUGACUAUCCGUUGAUCAACGAGAUAGUCAACUAGAGGCUUACUAGGGACAUGUUGGUGUCUAUUAUUCACACAUGUAUUGCGAUUUCCGGAUAAUACAAUUAUAGCAUGAAUAAAGACAAUUAUCAUGAACAAGGAAAUAUAAUAAUAAUGAUUUUAUUAUUGCCUCUAGGGCAUAUUUCCAACAGUCUCCCACUUGCACUAGAGUCAAUAAUCUAGUUACAUUGUGAUGAAUCGAACACCCAAGGAAUUCUGGUGUUGAUCAUGUUUUGCUCUAGGGAGAGGUUUAGUCAACGGAUCUGCUACAUUCAGGUCCGUAUGUACUUUACAAAUAUCUAUGUCUCCAUCUUGAACAUUUUCACGAAUGGAGUUGAAGCGACGCUUGAUGUGCCUUGUCUUCUUGUGAAACCUGGGCUCCUUGGCAAGUGCAAUAGCUCCAGUGUUGUCACAAAAGAGCUUGAUCGGCCCCGACGCAUUGGGUAUUACUCCUAGGUCGGUGGUGAACUCCUUCACCCAAAUUUCUUCAUGCGCUGCCUCCGAGGCUGCCAUGUACUCCGCUUCACAUGUAGAUCCUGCCACGACGCUUUGCUUGCAACUGCACCAGCUUACUGCCCCACCAUUCAAAAUAUACACGUAUCCGGUUUGUGACUUAGAGUCAUCCAGAUCUGUGUCGAAGCUAGCGUUGACGUAACCUUUUACGACGAUCUCUUCAUCACCUCCAUAAAUGAGAAAUAUUUCCUUAGUCCUUUUCAGGUACUUCAGGAUAUUCUUGACCGCUAUCCAGUGUUCCUUGCCGGGAUUACUUUGGUACCUUCCUACCAAACUUACGGCAAGGUUUACAUCAGGUCUGGUACACAGCAUGGCAUACAUAAUAGAACCUAUGGCUGAGGCAUAGGGGAUGACACUCAUCUCUUCUAUAUCUUCUGCCGUGGUCGGACAUUGAGCUGAGCUCAAUUUCACACCUUGUAACACAGGCAAGAACCCCUUCUUAGACUGAUCCAUAUUGAAUUUCUUCAAUAUCUUAUCAAGGUAUGUGCUUUGUGAAAGACCUAUGAGGCGUCUUGAUCUAUCUCUAUAGAUCUUGAUGCCUAAUAUAUAUGCAGCUUCUCCAAGGUCCUUCAUUGAAAAACUCUUAUUCAAGUAGGCCUUAAUGUUGUCCAAGAGUUCUAUAUCAUUUCCCAUCAAAAGUAUGUCAUCUACAUAUAAUAUGAGAAAUGCUACAGAGCUCCCACUCACUUUCUUGUAAACACAGGCUUCUCCAUAAGUCUGCGUAAACCCAAACGCUUUGAUCAUCUCAUCAAAGCGAAUGUUCCAACUCCGAGAUGCUUGCACCAGCCCAUAAAUCGAGCGUUGGAGCUUGCAUACCUUGUCAGCAUUCUUAGGAUCGACAAAACCUUCCGGCUGCAUCAUAUACAAUUCUUCCUUAAGGAAACCAUUAAGGAAUGCCGUUUUGACGUCCAUUUGCCAUAUCUCAUAAUCAUAGAAUGCGACAAUUGCUAACAUGAUUCAGACGGACUUUAGCUUCGCUACCAGUGAGAAAGUCUCAUCGUAGUCAACCCCUUGAACUUGUCGAUAACCCUUAGCGACAAGCCGAGCUUUAUAGAUGGUCACAUUACCAUCCGCGUCUGUCUUCUUCUUAAAGAUCCAUUUAUUUUCUAUGGCUCGCCGCUCAACAGGCAAGUCAGUCAAAGUCCAUACUUCGUUUUCAUACAUGGAUCCUAUCUCAGAUUUCAUGGCUUCUAGCCAUUUGUCGGAAUCCGGGCCCGCCAUCGCUUCUUCAUAGUUUGAAGGUUCACCGUUGUCUAACAACAUGAUUUCCAAGACAGGGUUGCCGUACCACUCUGGUGCGGAACGUGUCCUUGUGGACCUACGAAGUUCAGUAGCAACUUGAUCUGAAGUUUCAUGAUCAUCAUCAUUAACUUCCUCUCUAGUCAGUGCAGGCACCUCAGGAACAUUUUCUUGAGUUGCGCCAUUUUCCGGUUCAAGAGGUAAUACUUCAUCAAGUUCUACUUUCCUCCCACUUACUUCUUUCGAGAGAAACUCUUUCUCUAGAAAGGAUCCAUUCUUGGCAACAAAGAUCUUGCCUUCAGAUCUGAGGUAGAAGGUAUACCCAAUAGUUUCUUUAGGGUAUCCUAUGAAGACACAUUUUUCUGACUUGGGUUCGAGCUUUUCAGGUUGAAGUUUCCUGACAUAAGCAUCGCAUCCCCAAACUUUCAGAAACGACAGCUUAGGUUUCUUCCCAAACCAUAAUUCAUACGGUGUCGUCUCAACGGAUUUCGAUGGAGCCCUAUUUAAAGUGAAUGCGACAGUCUCUAAAGCAUAGCCCCAAAAAGAUAGCGGUAAAUCGGCAAGAGACAUCAUAGAUCGCACCAUAUCUAAUAGAGUGCGAUUACGAUGUUCGGACACACCAUUACGCCGAGGUGUUCCAGGCGACGUGAGUUGUGAAACUAUUCCACAUUUUCUUAAGUGUGUGCCAAACUCGUGACUCAAGUAUUCUCCUCCACGAUCUGAUCGCAGGAACUUGAUUUUCCUGUCACGUUGAUUCUCAACCUCACUCUGAAAUUCUUUGAACUUUUCAAAGGUCUUAGACUUGUGUUUCAUUAAAUAGACAUACCCAUAUCUACUCAAUUCAUCAGUGAGGGUGAGAACAUAACGAUAGCCACCGCGAGCCUCAACACUCAUUGGACCGCACACAUCAGUAUGUAUGAUUUCCAAUAAGUUGGUUGCUUGCUCCAUUGUUCCUGAGAACGGAGUCUUGGUCAUUUUACCCAUGAGGCAUGGUUCGCACGUGUCAAAUGAUUCGUAAUCAAGAGACUCUAAAAGUCCAUCAGCAUGGAGCUUCUUCAUGCGUUUGACACCUAUGUGACCAAGGCGGCAGUGCCACAAGUAUGUGGGACUAUCAUUAUCAAUCUUACAUCUCUUGGUACUCACACUAUGAAUAUGUGUAGCAUUACGCUCGAGAUUCAUUAAGAAUAAACCAUUCACCAUCGGAGCAUGACCAUAAAACAUAUCUCUCAUAUAAAUAGAACAACCAUUAUUCUCGGAUUUAAAUGAGUAGCCAUCUCGUAUUAAAUGAGAUCCUGAUACAAUGUUCAUGCUCAAAGCUGGUACUAAAUAAAAAUUAUUGAGGUUUAAAACUAAUCCCGUAGGUAAAUGAAGAGGCAGCGUCCCGACGGCGAUCACAUCGACCUUGGAACCAUUCCCGACGCGCAUCGUCACCUCGUCCUUCGCUAGUCUCCGCUUAUUCCGCAGCUCCUGCUUUGAGUUACAAAUGUGAGCAACUGCACCGGUAUCAAAUACCCAGGAGCUACUACGAGUACUGGUAAGGUACACAUCAAUAACAUGUAUAUCAGAUAUACCUUUCGUUUUGCCGGCCUUCUUGUCUGCUAAGUAUUUGGGGCAGUUCCGCUUCCAGUGACCACUUUCCUUGCAAUAAAAGCACUCAGUCUCGGGCUUGGGUCCAUUCUUUGGCUUCUUCCCGGCAGCUUGCUUGCCGGGCGCGGCAACUCCCUUGCCAUCCUUCUUGAAAGCUUUCUUUUCCUUGCCCUUCUUGAACUUAGUGGUUUUAUUCACCAUCAACACUUGAUGUUCCUUUUUGACUUCUACCUCUGCUGAUUUCAGCAUUGCAAAUACUUCAGGAAUGGUCUUUUCCAUCCCCUGCAUAUUGAAGUUCAUCACAAAGCUCUUGUAGCUCGGUGGAAGCAACUGAAGGAUUCUGUCAAUGACUGCGUCAUCCGGGAGAUUAACUCCCAGCUGAGCCAAGCGGUUAUGUAACCCAGACAUAGUGAGUAUGUGCUCACUGACAGAACUGUUUUCCUCCAUCUUACAGCUGAAGAACUUGUCGGAGACUUGAUAUCUCUCGACCCGGGCAUGAGCUUGGAAAACCAUUUUCAGCUCUUCGAACAUCUCAUAUGCUCCGUGUCUCUCAAAACGCUUUUGGAGGCCCGGCUCUAAGCUGUAAAGCAUGCCGCACUGAACGAGGGAGUAGUCAUCGGUACGUGCCUGCCAAGCGUUCAUAACGUCUUGUUCUGCAGGGAGAACAGGUGCGUCACCUAGCGGUGCUUAUAGGACAUAAUCUUUCUUGGCAGCUAUGAGGAUGAUCCUCAGGUUCCGGACCCAGUCCGUGUAGUUGCUGCCAUCGUCUUUCAGCUUGGUUUUCUCUAGGAACGCAUUGAAGUUGAGGACUACGUUGGCCAUUUGAUCUACAAGACAUAUUGUAAAAUAUUUAGACUAAGUUCAUGAUAAUUAAGUUCAUCUAAUCAAAUUAUUCAAUGAACUCCCACUUAGAUAGACAUCCCUCCUGUAAUCUAAGUAUAACAUGAUCCGAGUUAACUAGGCCGUGUCCGAUCAUCACGUGAGAUGGACUAGUCAACAUCGGUGAACAUCUUCAUGUUGAUCGUAUCUUCUAUACGACUCAUGCUCGACCUUUCGGUCUUCUGUGUUCUGAGGCCAUGUCUGUACAUGCUAGGCUCGUCAAGUCAACCUAAGUGUUUGCAUGUGUAAAUCUGUCUUACACCCGUUGUAUGUGAACAUUAGAAUCUAUCACACCCGAUCAUAACGUGGUGCUUCGAAACAACGAACUGUCGCAACGGUGCACAGUUAGGGGGAACACUUUCUUGAAAUUAUUAUGAGGGAUCAUCUUAUUUACUACCGUCGUUCUAAGUAAACAAGAUGCAAAAACAUGAUAAACAUCACAUGCAAUCAAAUAAUAAUAGUGACAUGAUAUGGCCAAUAUCACAUAGCUCCUUUGAUCUCCAUCUUAGGGCUCCAUGAUCAUAUUGUCACCGGCAUGACACCAUGAUCUCCAUCAUCAUGAUCUCCAUCAUCGUGUCUCCAUGAAGUUUCUCGCCAACUAUUACUUCUACUACUAUGGCUAACACGUUUAGCAAUAAAGUAAAGUAAUUUACAUGGCGUUUCUCAAUGACACGCAGGUCAUACAAAAAAUAAAGACAACUCCUAUGGCUCCUGCCGGUUGUCAUACUCAUCGACAUGCAAGUCGUGAUUCCUAUUACAAUAGCAUGAACAUCUCAUACAUCACAUAUAUAUCAUUCAUCAUUCAUCACAACUUUGGCCAUAUCAUAUCACAAAGCACUUGCUGCAAAAACAAGUUAGACGUCCUCUAAUUGUUGUUGCAUGUUUUACGUGGCUGAAGUAGGGUUCUAGCAAGAACGUUUUCUUACCUACAUGAAAGCCACAACAUGAUUUGUCAACUUCUAUUUACCCUUCAUAAGGACCCUUUUCAUCGAAUCCGCUCCAACUAAAGUGGGAGAGACAGACACCCGCCAGCCACCUUAUGCAACUAGUGCAUGUUAGUCGGUGGAACCGGUCUCACGUAAGCGUACGUGUAAGGUUGGUCCGGGCCGCUUCAUCCCACAAUACCGUUGAAGCAAGAUAAGACUAGUAGCAGCAAGAAAGUUGACAACAUCAACGCCCACAACAAAUUGUGUUCUACUCGUGCAAGAGAACUACGCAUAGACCUAGCUCAUGAUGCCACUGAUGGGGAACGUUGCAGAAAACAAAAUUUUCCUACGGUUUCACCAAGAUCCAUCUAGGAGUUCAUCUAGCAACGAGUGAUCGGAUUGCAUCUACAUACCUUUGUAGAUCACGCGCGGAAGCGUUCAAAGAACGGGGAUGAGGAAGGCGUACUCGACAUGAUCCAAAUCACCGGAGAUCCUAGCGCCGAACGGAUGGCACCUCCGCGUUCAACACAUGUACGGUCAGCGUAACGUCUCCUUCUUCUUGAUCCAGCAAGGGGGAAAGAGAGGUUGAGGAAGAUGGCUCCAGCAGCAGCACGACGGCGUGGUGGUGAUGGAGCUGCAGUACUCCGGCAGGGCUUCACCAAGCACUAUGGAGGAGGAGGAGGUGUUGGAGAGGGAGAGGGAGGCACCAAAGGCAAGGGUGAGAGGUCCUCCCUUCCCCCCACUAUAUAUAGGGGGCCUAGGGGGGGGGGCGCCAGCCCUAGGAGAUCCAAUCUCCUAGGGGGGCGGCGGCCAAGGGAGGAAUCCCUCCUCCCCAUGGCACAUAGGAGGUGCCUUCCCCUUCUAGGACUCUUCCUUUAGGGUUUCCCCCACCCUAGGCACAUGGGCCCUAGGGGGAAGUGGCGCCACAGCCCACUUUGGGUUGGAUCCCUUCCCACUUCAGCCCAUGGGGCCCUCCGGGAUAGGUGGCCCCACCCGGUGGACCCCCGGGACCCUUCCGGUGGUCCCGGUACAAUACCGGUGACCCCGAAACUUGUCCCGAUGGCCGAAAUAGCACUUCCUAUAUAUAAUUCUUUACCUCCGGACCAUUCCGGAACUCCUCGUGACGUCCGGGAUCUCAUCCGGGACUCCGAACAACAUUCGGGUUACUGCAUAUACAUAUCCCUACAACCCUAGCGUCACCGAACCUUAAGUGUGUAGACCCUACGGGUUCGGGAGACAUGUAGACAUGACCGAGAUUGCUCUCCGGUCAAUAACCAACAGCGGGAUCUGGAUACCCAUGUUGGCUCCCACAUGCUCCUCGAUGAUCUCAUCGGAUGAACCACGAUGUCGAGGAUUCAAGCAACCCCGUAUACAAUUCCCUUUGUCAAUCGGUAUGUUACUUGCCCGAGAUCUGAUCGUCGGUAUCCCAAUACCUCGUUCAAUCUCGUUACCGGCAAGUCACUUUACUCAUACCAUAAUGCAUGAUCCCGUGACCAGACACUUGGUCACUUUGAGCUCAUUAUGAUGAUGCAUUACCGAGUGGGCCCAGUGAUACCUCUCCGUCAUACGGAGUGACAAAUCCCAGUCUUGAUCCGUGUCAACCCAAUAGACACUUUCGAAGAUACCCGUAGUAUACCUUUAUAGUGACCCAGUUACGUUGUGACGUUUGGUAUACCCAAAGCACUCCUACGGUAUCCGGGAGUUACACGAUCUCAUGGUCUAAGGAAAGGAUACUUGACAUUGGAAAACUCUAGCAAACGAACUAUACGAUCUUGUGCUAUGUUUAGGAUUGGGUCUUGUCCAUCACAUCAUUCUCCUAAUGAUGUGAUCUCGUUAUCAAUGACAUCCAAUGUCCAUAGUCAGGAAACCAUGACUAUCCGUUGAUCAACGAGCUAGUCAACUAGAGGCUUACUAGGGACAUGUUGGUGUCUAUUAUUCACACAUGUAUUACGAUUUCCGGAUAAUACAAUUAUAGCAUGAAUAAAGACAAUUAUCAUGAACAAGGAAAUAUAAUAAUAAUGAUUUUAUUAUUGCCUCUAGGGCAUAUUUCCAACAGUCUCCCACUUGCACUAGAGUCAAUAAUCUAGUUACAUUGUGAUGAAUCGAACACCCAUGGAAUUCUGGUGUUGAUCAUGUUUUGCUCUAGGGAGAGGUUUAGUCAACGAAUCUGCUACAUUCAGGUCCAUAUGUACUUUACAAAUAUCUAUGUCUCCAUCUUGAACAUUUUCACGAAUGGAGUUGAAGCGACGCUUGAUGUGCCUUGUCUUCUUGUGAAACCUGGGCUCCUUGGCAAGUGCAAUAGCUCCAGUGUUGUCACAGAAGAGCUUGAUCGGCCCCGACGCAUUGGGCAUGACUCCUAGGUCGGUGGUGAACUCCUUCACCCAAAUUGCUUCAUGCGCUGCCUCCGAGGCUGCCAUGUACUCCGCUUCACAUGUAGAUCCUGCCACUUCGCUUUGCUUGCAACUGCACCAGCUUACUGCCCCACCAUUCAAAAUAUACACGUAUCCGGUUUGUGACUUAGAGUCAUCCAGAUCUGUGUCGAAGCUAGCGUCGACGUAACCUUUUACGACAAGCUCUUCAUCACCUCCAUAAAUGAGAAAUAUUUCCUUAGUCCUUUUCAGGUACUUCAGGAUAUUCUUGACCGCUAUCCAGUGUUCCUUGCCGGGAUUACUUUGGUACCUUCCUACCAAACUUACGGCAAGGUUUACAUCAGGUCUGGUACACAGCAUGGCAUACAUAAUAGAACCUAUGGCUGAGGCAUAGGGGAUGACACUCAUCUCUUCUAUAUCUUCUGCCGUGGUCGGACAUUGAGCUGAGCUCAAUUUCACACCUUGUAACACAGCCAAGAACCCCUUCUUAGACUGAUCCAUAUUGAAUUUCUUCAAUAUCUUAUCAAGGUAUGUGCUUUGUGAAAGACCUAUGAGGCGUCUUGAUCUAUCUCUAUAGAUCUUGAUGCCUAAUAUAUAUGCAGCUUCUCCAAGGUCCUUCAUUGAAAAACUCUUAUUCAAGUAGGCCUUAAUGUUGUCCAAGAGUUCUAUAUCAUUUCCCAUCAAAAGUAUGUCAUCUACAUAUAAUAUGAGAAAUGCUACAGAGCUCCCACUCACUUUCUUGUAAACACAGGCUUCUCCAUAAGUCUGCGUAAACCCAAACGCUUUGAUCAUCUCAUCAAAGCGAAUGUUCCAACUCCGAGAUGCUUGCACCAGCCCAUAAAUCGAGCGUUGGAGCUUGCGUACCUUGUCAGCAUUCUUAGGAUCGACAAAACCUUCCGGCUGCAUCAUAUACAAUUCUUCCUUAAGAAAACCAUUAAGGAAUGCCGUUUUGAUGUCCAUUUGCCAUAUCUCAUAAUCAUAGAAUGCGACAAUUGCUAACAUGAUUUGGACGGACUUUAGCUUCGCUACCGGUGAGAAAGUCUCAUCGUAGUCAACCCCUUGAACUUGUCGAUAACCCUUAGCGACAAGCCGAGCUUUAUAUAUGGUCACAUUACCAUCCGCGUCUGUCUUCUUCUUAAAGAUCCAUUUAUUUUCUAUGGCUCGCCGCUCAACAGGCAAGUCAGUCAAAGUCCAUACUUCGUUUUCAUACAUGGAUCCUAUCUCAGAUUUCAUGGCUUCUAGCCAUUUGUCGGAAUCCGGGCCCGCCAUCGCUUCUUCAUAGUUUGAAGGUUCACCGUUGUCUAACAACAUGAUUUCCAAGACAGGGUUGCCGUACCACUCUGGUGCGGAACAUGUCCUUGUGGACCUACGAAGUUCAGUAGCAACUUGAUCUGAAGUUUCAUGAUCAUCAUCAUUAACUUCCUCUCUAGUCGGUGCAGGCACCUUAGGAACAUUUUCUUGAGUUGCGCCAUUUUCCGGUUCAAGAGGUAAUACUUCAUCAAGUUCUACUUUCCUCCCACUUACUUCUUUCGAGAGAAUCUCUUUCUCUAGAAAGGAUCCAUUCUUGGCAACAAAGAUCUUGCCUUCGGAUCUGAGGUAGAAGGUAUACCCAAUAGUUUAUUUAGGGUAUCCUAUGAAGACGCAUUUUUCCGACUUGGGUUCGAGCUUUUCAGGUUGAAGUUUCCUGACAUAAGCAUCGCAUCCCCAAACUUUCAGAAAUGACAGCUUAGGUUUCUUCCCAAACCAUAAUUCAUACGGUGUCGUCUCAACGGAUUUCGAUGGAGCCCUAUUUAAAGUGAAUGCGGCAGUCUCUAAAGCAUAGCCCCAAAAAGAUAGCGGUAAAUCGGCAAGAGACAUCAUAGAUCGCACCAUAUCUAAUAGAGUGCGAUUACGACGUUCGGACACACCAUUACGCCGAGGUGUUCCAGGCGGCGUGAGUUGUGAAACUAUUCCACAUUUUCUUAAGUGUGUGCCAAACUCGUGACUCAAGUAUUCUCCUCCACGAUCUGAUCGCAGGAACUUGAUUUUCUUGUCACGUUGAUUGUCAACCUCACUCUGAAAUUCUUUGAACUUUUCAAAGGUCUCAGACUUGUGUUUCAUUAAGUAGACAUACCCAUAUCUACUCAAGUCAUCAGUGAGGGUGAGAACAUAACGAUAGCCACCGCGAGCCUCAACACUCAUUGGACCGCACACAUCAGUAUGUAUGAUUUCCAAUAAGUUGGUUGCUUGCUCCAUUGUUCCUGAGAAUGGAGUCUUGGUCAUUUUACCCAUGAGGCAUGGUUCGCACGUGUCAAAUGAUUCAUAAUCAAGAGACUCUAAAAGUCCAUCAGCAUGGAGCUUCUUCAUGCGUUUGACACCUAUGUGACCAAGGCGGCAGUGCCACAAGUAUGUGGGACUAUCAUUAUCAAUCUUACAUCUCUUGGUACUCACACUAUGAAUAUGUGUAGCAUUACGCUCGAGAUUCAUUAAGAAUAAACCAUUCACCAUCGGAGCAUGACCAUAAAACAUAUCUCUCAUAUAAAUAGAACAACCAUUAUUCUCGGAUUUAAAUGAGUAGCCAUCUCGUAUUAAACGAGAUCCUGAUACAAUGUUCAUGCUCAAAGCUGGUACUAAAUAACAAUUAUUGAGGUUUAAAACUAAUCCCGUAGGUAAAUGAAGAGGCAGCGUCCCGACGGCGAUCACAUCGACCUUGGAACCUUUCCCGACGUGCAUCGUCACCUCGUCCUUCGCUAGUCUCCGCUUAUUCCGCAGCUCCUGCUUUGAGUUACAAAUGUGAGCAACUGCACCGGUAUCAAAUACCCAGGAGCUACUACGAGUACUGGUAAGGUACACAUCAAUAACAUGUAUAUCACAUAUACCUUUCGUUUUGCCGGCCUUCUUGUCUGCUAAGUAUUUGGGGCAGUUCCGCUUCCAGUGACCACUUUCCUUGCAAUAAAAGCACUCAGUCUCGUGCUUGGGUCCAUUCUUUGGCUUCUUCCCGGCAGCUUGCUUGCCGGGCGCGGCAACUCCCUUGCCAUCCUUCUUGAAAGCUUUCUUUUCCUUGCCCUUCUUGAACUUAGUGGUUUUAUUCACCAUCAACACUUGAUGUUCCUUUUUGACUUCUACCUCUGCUUAUUCCAGCAUUGCAAAUACUUCAGGAAUGGUCUUUUCCAUCCCCUGCAUAUUGAAGUUCAUCACAAAGCUCUUGUAGCUCGGUGGAAGCGACUGAAGGAUUCUGUCAAUGACUGCGUCAUCCGGGAGAUUAACUCCCAGCUGAGCCAAGCGGUUAUGUAACCCAGACAUAGUGAGUAUGUGCUCACUGACAGAACUGUUUUCCUCCAUCUUACAGCUGAAGAACUUGUCGGAGACUUGAUAUCUCUCGACCCGGGCAUGAGCUUGGAAAACCAUUUUCAGCUCUUCGAACAUCUCAUAUGCUCCGUGUCUCUCAAAACGCUUUUGGAGGCCCGGCUCUAAGCUGUAAAGCAUGCCGCACUGAACGAGGGAGUAGUCAUCGGUACGUGCCUGCCAAGCGUUCAUAACGUCUUGUUCUGCAGGGAGAACAGGUGCGUCACCUAGCGGUGCUUGUAGGACAUAAUCUUUCUUGGCAGCUAUGAGGAUGAUCCUUAGGUUCUGGACCCAGUCCGUGUAGUUGCUGCCAUCGUCUUUCAGCUUGGUUUUCUCUAGGAACGCGUUGAAGUUGAGGACUACGUUGGCCAUUUGAUCUACAAGACAUAUUGUAAAAUAUUUAGACUAAGUUCAUGAUAAUUAAGUUCAUCUAAUCAAAUUAUUCAAUGAACUCCCACUUAGAUAGACAUCCCUCCUGUAAUCUAAGUAUAACAUGAUCCGAGUUAACUAGGCCGUGUCCGAUCAUCACGUGAGACGGACUAGUCAACAUCGAUGAACAUCUUCAUGUUGAUCGUAUCUUCUAUACGACUCAUGCUCGACCUUUCGGUCUUCUGUGUUCCGAGGCCAUGUCUGUACAUGCUAGGCUCGUCAAGUCAACCUAAGUGUUUGCAUGUGUAAAUCUGUCUUACACCCGUUGUAUGUGAACGUUAGAAUCUAUCACACCCGAUCAUCACGUGGUGCUUCGAAACAACGAACUGUCGCAACGGUGCACAGUUAGGGGGAACACUUUCUUGAAAUUAUUAUGAGGGAUCAUCUUAUUUACUACCGUCGUUCUAAGUAAACAAGAUGCAAAAACAUGAUAAACAUCACAUGCAAUCAAAUAAUAAUAGUGACAUGAUAUGGCCAAUAUCACAUAGCUCCUUUGAUCUCCAUCUUAGGGCUCCAUGAUCAUCUUGUCACCGGCAUGACACCAUGAUCUCCAUCAUCAUGAUCUCCAUCAUCGUGUCUCCAUGAAGUUGCUCGCCAACUAUUACUUCUACUACUAUGGCUAACACGUUUAGCAAUAAAGUAAAGUAAUUUACAUGGCGUUUCUCAAUGACAUGCAGGUCAUACAAAAAAUAAAGACAACUCCUAUGGCUCCUGCCGGUUGUCAUACUCAUCGACAUGCAAGUCGUGAUUCCUAUUACAAUAGCAUGAACAUCUCAUACAUCACAUAUAUAUCAUUCAUCAUUCAUCACAACUUUGGCCAUAUCAUAUCACAAAGCACUUGCUGCAAAAACAAGUUAGACGUCCUCUAAUUGUUGUUGCAUGUUUUACGUGGCUGAAGUAGGGUUCUAGCAAGAACGUUUUCUUACCUACGUGAAAGCCACAACAUGAUUUGUCAACUUCUAUUUACUCUUCAUAAGGACCCUUUUCAUCGAAUCCGCUCCAACUAAAGUGGGAGAGACAGACACCCGCCAGCCACCUUAUGCAACUAGUGCAUGUUAGUCGGUGGAACCGGUCUCACGUAAGCGUACGUGUAAGGUUGGUCCGGGCCGCUUCAUCCCACAAUACCGUUGAAGCAAGAUAAGACUAGUAGCAACAAGAAAGUUGACAACAUCAACGCCCACAACAAAUUGUGUUCUACUCAUGCAAGAGAACUACGCAUAGACCUAGCUCAUGAUGCCACUGAUGGGGAACGUUGCAGAAAACAAAAUUUUCCUACGGUUUCACCAAGAUCCAUCUAGGAGUUCAUCUAGCAACGAGUGAUCGGAUUGCAUCUACAUACCUUUGUAGAUCACGCGCGGAAGCAUUCAAAGAACGGGGAUGAGGAAGGCGUACUCGACGUGAUCCAAAUCACCGGAGAUCCUAGCGCCGAACGGACGGCACCUCCGUGUUCAACACACGUACGGUCAGCAUAACGUCUCCUUCUUCUUGAUCCAGCAAGGGGGAAAGAGAGGUUGAGGAAGAUGGCUCCAGCAGUAGCACGACGGCGUGGUGGUGAUGGAGCUGCAGUACUCCGGCAGGGCUUCACCAAGCACUAUGGAGGAGGAGGAGGUGUUGGAGAGGGAGAGGGAGGCACCAAAGGCAAGGGUGAGAGGUCCUCCCUUCCCCCCACUAUAUAUAGGGGGCCUAGGGGGGGGGGCGCCAGCCCUAGGAGAUCCAAUCUCCUAGGGGGGCGGCGGCCAAGGGAGGAAUCCCUCCUCCCAAAGGCACCUAGGAGGUGCCUUCCCCUUCUAGGACUCUUCCUUUAGGGUUUCCCCCACCCUAGGCACAUGGGCCCUAGGGGGAAGUGGCGCCACAGCCCACUUUGGGCUGGAUCCCUUCCCACUUCAGCUCAUGGGGCCCUCCGGGAUAGGUGGCCCCACCCAGUGGACCCCCGGGACCCUUCCGGUGGUCCCGGUACAAUACCGGUGACCGCGAAACUUGUCCCGAUGGCCGAAAUAGCACUUCAUAUAUAUAAUUCUUUACCUCCGGACCAUUCCGGAACUCCUCGUGACGUCCGGGAUCUCAUCCAGGACUCCAAACAACAUUCGGGUUACUGCAUAUACAUAUCCCUACAACCCUAGCGUCACCGAACCUUAAGUGUGUAGACCCUACGGGUUCGGGAGACAUGUAGACAUGACCGAGAUUGCUCUCCGGUCAAUAACCAACAGCGGGAUCUGGAUACCCAUGUUGUCUCCCACAUGCUCCUCGAUGAUCUCAUCGGAUGAACCACGAUGUCGAGGAUUCAAGCAACCCCGUAUACAAUUCCCUUUGUCAAUCGGUAUGUUACUUGCCCGAGAUCUGAUCGUCGGUAUCCCAAUACCUCGUUCAAUCUCGUUACCGGCAAGUCACUUUACUCGUACCGUAAUGCAUGAUCCCGUGACUAGACACUUGGUCACUUUGAGCUCAUUAUGAUGAUGCAUUACCGAGUGGGCCCAGUGAUACCUCUCCGUCAUAUGGAGUGACAAAUCCCAGUCUUGAUCCGUGUCAACCCAACAGACACUUUCGGAGAUACCCGUAGUAUACCUUUAUAGUCACCCAGUUACGUUGUGACGUUUGGUAUACCCAAAGCACUCCUACGGUAUCCGGGAGUUACACGAUCUCAUGGUCUAAGGAAAGGAUACUUGACAUUGGAAAACUCUAGCAAACGAACUAUACGAUCUUGUGCUAUGUUUAGGAUUGGGUCUUGUCCAUCACAUCAUUCUCCUAAUGAUGUGAUCUCGUUAUCAAUGACAUCCAAUGUCCAUAGUCAGGAAACCAUGACUAUCCGUUGAUCAACGAGCUAGUCAACUAAAGGCUUACUAGGGACAUGUUGGUGUCUAUUAUUCACACAUGUAUUAUGAUUUCUGGAUAAUACAAUUAUAGCAUGAAUAAAGACAAUUAUCAUGAACAAGGAAAUAUAAGAAUAAUGAUUUUAUUAUUGCCUCUAGGGCAUAUUUCCAACACUUUCGGUCUCUUGUGUUCCGAGACCAUGUCUGUACAUGCUAGGCUCGUCAAGUCAACCUAAGUGUUUCGCGUGUGUAAAUCUGUCUUACACCCAUUGUAUGUGAACGUUAGAAUCUAUCACACCUGAUCAUCACGUGGUGCUUCGAAACAACGAACUAUCGCAACGGUGCACAGUUAGGGGGAACACUUUCUUGAAAUUUUAAUGAGGGAUCAUCUUAUUUACUACCGUUGUUCUAAGCAAAUAAGAUGCAUAAACAUGACAAACAUCACAUGCAAUCAAAUAGUGACAUGAUAUGGCCAUCAUCACUUUGCUCCUCUUGAUCUCCAUCUUCGGGGCUCCAUGAUCAUCAUCGUCACCGGCAUGACACCAUGAUCUCCAUCAUCAUGAUCUCUAUGAUCGUGUCUUCAUGAAGUUGUCUCACCAACUAUUACUUCUACUACUACAGCUAACGGUUAGCAAUAAAGUAAAGUAAUCACAUGACGUUUAUGUUGACAUGCAGGUCAUAAAUAAAUUAAGACAACUCCUAUGGCUCCUGCCGGUUGUCAUACUCAUCGACAUGCAAGUCGUGAUUCCUAUUACAAGAACAUGAUCAAUCUCAUACAUCACAUAUAAUUCAUCACAUUCUUCUUGGCCAUAUCACAUCACAUGGCAUACCCUGCAAAAACAAGUUAGACGCCCUCUAAUUGUUGUUUGCUUGUUUUACGUGGCUGCUACGGGUUUCUAGCAAGAACGUUUCUUACCUACGCAAAACCACAACGUGAUAUGCCAAUUGCUAUUUACCCUUCAUAAGGACCCUUUUCAUCGAAUCCGUUUCGACUAAAGUGGGAGAGACUGGCACCUGCUAGCCACCUUAUGCAACUAGUGCAUGUCAGUCGGUGGAACUUGUCUCACGUAAGAGUAUGUGUAAGGUUGGUCCGGGCCGCUUCAUCCCACAAUACCUUCGAAACAAGAUUGGACUAGUAACGGUAAGCAUAUUGAACAAAAUCAACGCCCACAACUACUUUGUGUUCUACUCGUGCAUAGAAUCUACGCAAUAGACCUAGCUCAUGAUGCCACUGUUGGGGAACGUAGCAGAAAUUCAAAAUUUUCUACGCAUCACCAAGAUCAAUCUAUGGAGAAGUCUACCAACGAGGGAAGGAGAGUGCAUCUAGAUACCCUUGUAGAUCGCUACGCGGAAGCAUUCAAGAGAACGGGGUUGAUGGAGUCGUACUCGUCGUGAUCCAAAUCACCGAUGAUCCUAGUGCCGAACGGAUGGCACCUCCGUGUUCAACACACGUACAACCCGGUGACGUCUCCCAUGCCUUGAUCCAUCAAGGAGAGAGGGAGAGGUUGAGGAAGACUCCAUCCAGCAGCAGCAGAACGACGUGGUGGUGGUGGAGGAGCGUGGCACUGCAGCAGGGCUUCGCCAAGCACCGCAAGAGACGAGGAGGGAGAGGGGUAGUGCUGCGCCAAGAAGGAGAGGAACUCGUGUGUGUUGGGCAGCCCAAACCUCAAGUAUAUAUAGGGGAAGGGGAGGGGCUGCGCCCCCACCUAGGGUUCCCUCCCUAGGGGUGGCGGCAGCCCCCAGAUCCCAUCUGGGUGGCGGCCACAAGGGGGAGAGGGGGAGGCGCACCUGGGGUGGGCCUUAGGGCCCAUCUGCCCUAGGGUUUGGCCCCUUUCCCUCUUGGAGGCGCCUUGGGCCUUGGUGGGAGGCGCCCCAGCCCACCUAGGGACUGGUCCCUUCCCACUUUUGGCCAAUGUAGGCCUCCGGGUCUGGUGGCCCCACUUGGUGGACCCCCGGGACCCUCCCGGUGGUCCCGGUACGUUACCGAUAAACCCCGAAACUUUUCCGGUGACCAAAACAGGACUUCCCAUAUAUAAAUCUUUACCUCCGGACCAUUCCGGAACUCCUCGUGACGUCCGAGAUCUCAUCCGGGACUCUGAACAACAUUCGGUAACCAUGUAUAUCUAUUCCCUAUAACCCUAGCAUCAUCGAACCUUUAGUGUGUAGACCCUACGGGUUCGGGAAACAUGCAGACAUGACCGAGACACCUCUCCGGUCAAUAACCAACAGCGGGAUAUGGAUACCCAUGUUGGUUCCCACAUGUUCCAUGAUGAUCUCAUCGGAUGAACCACGAUGUCGAGGAUUCGAUCAAUCCCGUAUACAAUUCCCUUUGUCUAGCGGUAUUGUACUUGCCCGAGAUUCGAUCGUCGGUAUCCCAAUACCUUGUUCAAUCUCGUUACCGGCAAGUCUCUUUACUCGUUCCGUAACACAUCAUCCCGUGAUCAACUCCUUGAUCACAUUGUGCACAUUAUGAUGAUGUCCUACUGAGUGGGCCCAGAGAUACCUCUCCGUCACACGGAGUGACAAAUCCGAGUCUCAAUUCGUGCCAACCCAACAGACACUUUCGGAGAUACCUGUAGUGUACCUUUAUAGCCACCCAGUUACGUUUUGACACUUGGCACACCCAAAGUAUUCCUAUGGUAUUCGGGAGUUGCACAAUCUCAUGGUCUAAGGAAAUGAUACUUGACAUUAGAAAAGCUUUAGCAUGCGAACUACACGAUCUUGUGCUAUGCUUAGGAUUGGGUCUUGUCCAUCACAUCAUUCUCCUAAUGAUGUGAUCCCGUUAUCAAUGACAUCCAAUGUCCAUGGUCAGGAAACCGUAACCAUCCAUUAAUUAACGAGCUAGUCAACUAGAGGCUUAAUAGGGACAUGGUGUUGUCUAUGUAUCCACACAUGUAUCUGAGUUUCCUAUCAAUACAAUUCUAGCAUGGAUAAUAAACGAUUAUCAUGAACAAGGAAAUAUAAUAAUAACUAAUUUAUUAUUGCCUCUAGGGCAUAUUUCCAACAAGAACUACUUCAGACAGCUCUGGCCCAGCAGGAUGCAUACUCCUAUAGUCGAGACAGGAUUCAUUCAACUCCUCGCCCAAGUCGGAGCCCAAGUUACAGUAGGCACAUGGAGUCUGCAGAGAUGUCAAGUAAUGCUCAACGCCACAACCGGCCAUAUAGGCAUGAGCCGGUGCGGGCUGGAGCCCUUAACCUGGCGGAUCAAGAGAGGAUUCUUCAAGAGGCGGAACGAGCGGCUCAAAUAGCAGCAGAGCAGGCGGCUCAUCAAACCUUUCCGGCUUAUCCAGCAACCUCGGUUGAGGCAGGAGUGGCCACAAGAACCGGAGGCGUACCUUGCUUGGUACCGGCCAUACACAAUGAGCGGUUGCCAAAAGAUUUCAAGGGGCCUCGUAAGGUGCCUAAUUACACGGCUGACCUAUAGUUGGUGGCUUGGAUUGAGAGUUAUGAGAUGGCUAUGGAGCUGUCGGAGGUUAGCGACGCUGCAAUAGCCAAGUAUUUUACCAUGAUGUUGGAUGGAACAACUCGGACCUGGUUGAAGGGAUUGCCACCCAAUUCUAUCGGCUCAUGGGCAGAGUUGAAAGCGCGGUUCAGCCAGAACUUUAAAGACACGUGUAAGUAGCCAAUGUCGAUUGUGGACCUGACCAAUUGUAAGAAGAGGACGGUGAGUCUACAACCCAUUGGGUGCGCCGGGUCAAGGAGAUAAUACAUUCAUCUGAUAAGAUGGAUGCCGGCUCAGCAGUCUUGAUGUUGGAGAAAAAUUGCUGUUUUGAACAUCUGAAGCAGAAGCUGGGGCGACUUAAAUGCAACUGUAAUGACAUGGGAACGUUGAUGGCGGCUCUUGCCAAGUAUGCUGAUUCUGAUACCACCAAGGACCCGGUGUCUGACGAAGAAAAGGCAACAAAGGGAAACAAGAACGGCAACGACAAGGGUCACCAGCAUAACCCGGUGAAUCAGGGAGGUAAUAAACGUAAGGCUGAUGAGUUUGUUGCUAAUACUAAUGCGCAGGGUGGUAAUCAGCGGCGCAAGGGCAGACAGCCCCCUUGGUCAGGCGGGUCAGGUCCCACUCUUGAGCAAUUGUUGAAUGAACCUUGUCCAAAGCACGGCACCCGGGAGAAGCCAGCCACCCACCUGUGGAAAGAUUGCACGAUCAUGAAGGCAUUUAAAAAUUCAAAUGCAUUUGAUGGGGGUCAUGGCCCAGGUGGCGGUUCAGGUGAAGGCGGCUUUCAGGGCCCGGGCGCCGGUUCAGGCGGAGGAGGUUUUCAAGGUCAAGGUUAUCCUGGUCACCAAGGAGGAUAUAAUCAGCAACACGGCCAAGGGAAUCAGCAGCAGCAAUUCGGUUAUCAGAGCAACCCAAAGCAGUUGAGUAGCGGACAGUAUCAUGUCUUUACUACCAGUUUAUGUAAGAGGGACCAGAAACUUCACAAGAGGGCCGUCAAUGCCGUUGAGCCGGCAAUUCCACGGUAUCUACGUUGGUCGGAGCAGCCUAUUGUGUGGAGCAGAGAGGAUCACCCGCCCCGGGUUGAUAAUCCGGGUCACUUGGCUUUGGUAGUGGCACCUCAGGUUGGUGGGUACAAGUUUACUAAGGUGCUCAUGGAUGGAGGCAGCAACAUCAACAUCCUCUACUAUGAGACGUUCCGUCGGAUGGGAUUGAUGGAUAAAAAUCUUAAAUAAUCCAACACUGUUUUUCAUGGUGUGGUGCCUGGUAAAUCGGCAUACCCAGUUGGUAAGAUUGAACUGGAAGUAGCCUUUGGGGAUGAGUAUGACUCCAGAGCGGAAAAAUUAACCUUUGAGGUGGUUAAGAUCAAAAGCCCAUAUCAUGCUCUGUUUGGGCGGCCGGCUUAUGCCAAGUUCAUGGCUCGGCCGUGUUACGUAUAUUUGCAGCUCAAGAUGCCGGGUCAUAAAGGCACCAUUACAGUACAUGGGAGCCGGAAGAUAGCCUUGGAAUGUGAAGAAGGUGAUGCUGCCUAUGCUGAAUCUGUUUGUGCAACAGAGGAGUUAAAAUUUCACAAGGAUCAUGUUGACCCGGCAGACAUGACGUCAUUAAAGAAACCAACAAUAGAGCAUGAGCCGGAGUUGAAAUUCAAAUCAGCUAAUGACAGUAAGAUGGUUGACUUUGUACCUGGUGACUCAUCCAAACAGUUUAUCAUCAGCGCAAACUUGGAUCCGAAAUAGGAAAGCGCACUCAUCGAGUUCAUCCAUGAGAACCGGGACAUCUUUGCAUGGAAACCUUCAGACAUGCCGGGUGUCCCGAGGGAACUCGCUGAGCACACUCUUAAUAUCGAUCCAAAAUUCAAACCUGUCAGACAGUUUCUCUGACGGUUCAAUGAAGAAAGACGCAAGGCCAUCGGGGAAGAGGUGGCCCGGCUCUUGGCAGCCGGGUUCAUUGUGGAGGUCUUUCACCCUGAAUGGUUAGCUAACCCGGUGCUUGUACUAAAAAAGAA